rnacentral:rRNA from 1 species
UACGGGGGGGGCAAGCGUUGUUCGGAAUUACUGGGCGUAAAGGGCUCGUAGGCGGCCAACUAAGUCCGACGUGAAAUCCCCAGGCUUAACCUGGGAACUGCGUCGGAUACUGGAUGGCUUGAAUUCGGGAGAGGGAUGCAGAAUUCCUGGUGUAGCGGUGAAAUGCGCAGAUAUCAGGAGGAACACCAAUUGCGAAGGCAGCUCGCUGGGACGUUACUGACGCUGAGACGCGAAAGCGUGGGGAGCAAACAGG